CCUACGGGUGGCUGCAGUAGGGAAUCUUCCGCAAUGGACGAAAGUCUGACGGAGCAACGCCGCGUGAGCGAAGAAGGUCUUCGGAUCGUAAAGCUCUGUUGUUAGGGAAGAACAAGUACCGUUCGAAUAGGGCGGUACCGUGACGGUACCUAACCAGAAAGCCACGGCUAACUACGUGCCAGCAGCCGCGGUAAUACGUAGGUGGCAAGCGUUGUCCGGAAUUAUUGGGCGUAAAGCGCGCGCAGGCGGCUUCUUAAGUCUGAUGUGAAAGCCCGCGGCUUAACCGCGGAGGGUCAUUGGAAACUGGGGAGCUUGAGUGCAGAAGAGGGGAGUGGAAUUCCACGUGUAGCGGUGAAAUGCGUAGAGAUGUGGAGGAACACCAGUGGCGAAGGCGGCUCUCUGGUCUGUAACUGACGCUGAGGCGCGAAAGCGUGGGGAGCAAACAGGAUUAGAUACCCGGGUAGUC
rnacentral:rRNA from 1 species